GACGAACGCUGGCGGCGUGCUUAACACAUGCAAGUCGAACGGAAAGGCCUCUUUCGGGGGGUACUCGAGUGGCGAACGGGUGAGUAACACGUGAGUAACCUGCCCUUGACUUUGGGAUAACUUCAGGAAACUGGGGCUAAUACCGGAUAGGAGCUCCUGCUGCAUGGUGGGGGUUGGAAAGUUUCGGCGGUUGGGGAUGGACUCGCGGCUUAUCAGCUUGUUGGUGGGGUAGUGGCUUACCAAGGCUUUGACGGGUAUCCGGCCUGAGAGGGUGACCGGCCACAUUGGGACUGAGAUACGGCCCAGACUCCUACGGGAGGCAGCAGUGGGGAAUAUUGCACAAUGGGUGGAAGCCUGAUGCAGCAACGCCGUGUGCGGGAUGACGGCCUUCGGGUUGGAAACCGCUUUCGCUCAUGACGAAGCUUUGUGUGACGGUAGUGGGUAAAGAAGCACCGGCUAACUACGUG
rnacentral:rRNA from 1 species